UACGUAGGUGGCAAGCGUUGUUCGGAAUUAUUGGGCGUAAAGGGCGCGUAGGCGGUUUGUUAAGUCGGCUGUGAAAGCCCGGGGCUCAACCCCGGAGGGUCAGCCGAUACUGGCAGACUAGAGUACGGAAGAGGUAGCUGGAAUUCCCGGUGUAGCGGUGAAAUGCGCAGAUAUCAGGAGGAACACCGGUGGCGAAGGCGGGUCUCUGGGCCACUACUGACGCUGAGAAGCGAAAGCGUGGGGAGCGAACAGG
rnacentral:rRNA from 1 species